GCGGCCUGUAACAAAAAGAAAGCUAAGGGUGAGUUCCCUUUCCCCCAGCCAACACUGCACACAGAUUUUCACCCUGCUUCAACACCCCUGCUUAAUGUUUGGGUUGUACAGAAAACAAAGGCGGUCCUGGAGGGGUUUUCUCCUUCCUUCCUUCUUUCUAUCCUUUCCUCCCUAGCUCUGCUGCAUGAAGCCCAAUUCAUGGACUUAGGAAGUUCAGACCCAUCCUGAUUUAAUGAGCGGCUUUCAUGGUACCGUGACUUCAACAGUAACACCAACAGAGAUCUACAGAGCUUUUGCAGGCCGUCCCCAAAACACUUCGGUCCUAAUCCAGGAACAAAUGAGACAGUGAUGGAGGAGGAAGUCUCCAAUGACUACCAGUACUCUAAAGAUCCAGCCAAGUCAGAUCUUGCCAAUAAAGAGUUACUUACUCCAAAG